rnacentral:rRNA from 1 species
UACAGGGGGUGCAAACGUUGCUCGGAAUUAUUGGGCGUAAAGCGCGCGUAGGCGGCCACUUAAGUCGGAUGUGAAAGCCCCCUGGCUCAACUGGGGAAGUGCACCCCGAAACUGAAUGGCUUGAGUGCGAAAAGAGGGUCGCGGAAUUCCCGGUGUAGAGGUGAAAAUUCGUAGAUAUCGGGGAGGAACACCGGUGGCGAAGGCGGCGACCUGGGUCGACACUGACGCUGAGGCGCGAAAGCGUGGGGGAGCAAACAGG